CUUAACACAUGCAAGUCGAACGAGGGAAUUCUUUCGGAGAAUAUACCGAGUGGCAAACGGGUGAGUAACGCGUAGGCAACCUGCCUUCAAGAUGGGGACAACAGUCCGAAAGGGCUGCUAAUACCGAAUGACAUGUCUGAACCGCAUGGGACGGACAGCAAAGACGGCCUCCAAACUAUGCUGUCGCUUGAAGAUGGGCCUGCGUCUGAUUAGCUAGUUGGUGAGAUAACAGCCCACCAAGGCGACGAUCAGUAGCCGGUCUGAGAGGAUGAACGGCCACAUUGGGACUGAGACACGGCCCAGACUCCUACGGGAGGCAGCAGUGGGGAAUCUUCCGCAAUGGGCGAAAGCCUGACGGAGCAACGCCGCGUGAGUGAAGAAGGUCUUCGGAUCGUAAAGCUCUGUUGAAGGGGACGCACGGCGCCUGUUACAAGAUAGCAGGUGAAUGACGGUACCCUUCGAGGAAGCCACGGCUAACUACGUG
rnacentral:rRNA from 1 species